UUAUAUAGUGGAAGCACAUAUCUAUAUGUAAAACUUAGAUCUCAAAGAUAGUCUCUCACAAUACAGUGGCAUUGUAUAAAAAUAUUGGAGAGGAAGCUAGACAAGUACUUGCUGCUCAAACACACAUGUGGAACCAUACUUUCAAUUAUAUCAAUUCCAUGUCACUCAAAUGUGCAAUUCAACUUGGAAUUCCAGAUAUCAUCCAUAGUCAUGGCCUAGCCAUGACCCUUUCCGAUUUAGUGAAAUCUCUACGUAUCAACAAUAUUAACGGUACAACUCACAAUUGUAUUUACUGUCUCAUGCGUAUUCUAAUCCAUGCAGGCUUUUUUACCCAAACCAAUUUAGUUAACAAAGAAGAAAAGGCACAAGAGGAGGAGGGUGAGGGUUACAUACUUACUCCGACUUCGCGCCUCCUCCUUAAAGAUGAGCCUUUGAGUCUAGUUCCGUUUGUGCAAGUGCAACUAGAUUCGAUUAUGAUGGAUCCAUGCAAAUAUCUAAGUGUAUGGUUCGAGAAUGGUGACCACUCUAGUACUAUGACUCCAUUCGCAACCGCUCAUGGAAAGCCAUUUUUCGAAUAUAUUGGGAAUGAACCAAAGUUGAACCAUUUAUUUAAUGAAGCCAUGGCUAGUGAUGCCCGAUUGGUUAUAAGUGUGAUAAUUGAAUAUCGUAAGGAAGUUUUUGAAGGACUGAAAUCAUUGGUGGACGUAGGAGGUGGCACGGGCACCAUGGCUAAAGCUAUUGCCAACACAUUUGCACAAAUAAAUUGCAUCGUCUUCGAUCUGCCACAUGUAAUUGAAGGAUGUGAAGAGAGUAAGAACCUCAAUUACGUGGGAGGAGACAUGUUUAAGUCCAUUCCUUCCGCUGAUGCGAUUUUACUAAAGUGAAUAUUACAUGAUUGGAACGAUGAAGAUUGUAUCAAAAUAUUGAAGAAAUGUAAAGAAGCAAUUUCCAAUAAGAAAAAUGGAGGAAGAGUGAUAAUCGUUGAAAUGAUGUUGAUGGAUAGUAAUAACCUACAAAAAGAAGAGCACAAGUCAUAUGAGGCCCAACUUUUCAUGGACAUGCUAAUGAUGGUUCACCCUUCAGGAAAGGAAAGAAGUCAACAAGAGUGGGCAAAGUUGUUCUAUGAUUCUGAUUUUAGUGAUUAUAAAAUUAUUCCUAUAUCAGGAUUGAGAUCUAUUAUUGAGGUUUAUCCUUAAAUAAAACUCAUCUCACUACAAGUUCAUAUAAUGGACGAUAUGCCCAAGUAUAAGUUCGAAGCAUUAGGAUUUACUUUUGGUUCUUGUUUUUUCUUUAAUCUUAUAAGUUUCUAGGCAUGCGUUUCACACGUGUACCUUAUGUAUCAAUUGAUGAAUAAUUUUAUAAAAUUACAUAUAUUACUAAAUGUUAAAGUCUGAGUUGUUUUAAAUAAAAAAAUAAAAGAGAAAUGUCCUGUUGUAA